UACUAUGCCCAGCCUUAACAAAACAAUCAAAUAACCAACUGUUCGCCAAAUAACUACGAGUAUAAACUUAAAAUUUAAAAGACUUGACGGUGCUUCACAACAGCCUAGAGGAGCCUGUCUAAUAACCGAUACUCCACGAUUAACCCCACCUGCCCUAGCCUAUCAGUCUAUAUACCGCCGUCGCCAGCUUACCUUGUGAAAGAAAUAAAGUAAACCUAAUAAGCCACCCCUAAUACGACAGGUCGAGGUGUAACAAAUGGACAGGUACAAGAUGGGCUACACUUUCUAAAACAGAAAAUACGAACAAACUACGAAACUAGAAACUGAAGGCGGAUUUAGCAGUAUGCUAAGAACAAAACACUUAGCUGAAACCAAUGCAAUGAAGCGCGUACACACCGCCCGUCAUCCCUGCCACAAAUAACAAAAAAUUAAUAAACACACUACCACAAUAAAACAGGGCAAGUCGU
rnacentral:rRNA from 1 species